rnacentral:rRNA from 1 species
AGAGUUUGAUCCUGGCUCAGGAUGAACGCUAGCGACAGGCUUAACACAUGCAAGUCGAGGGGCAGCACGGUGUAGCAAUACACUGGUGGCGACCGGCGCACGGGUGAGUAACACGUGUGCAACCAACCCCGUACCGGGAGAUAACCCGCGGAAACGUGGACUAACAUCCCAUAACACUCUAGAGCCGCAUGGCUCUGGAUUUAAAAUUCCGGUGGUACGGGACGGGCACGCGCGACAUUAGGUAGUUGGCGGGGUAAGGGCCCACCAAGCCGACGAUGUCUAGGGGUUCUGAGAGGAAGGUCCCCCACACUGGAACUGAGACACGGUCCAGACUCCUACGGGAGGCAGCAGUGAGGAAUAUUGGUCAAUGGGCGCGAGCCUGAACCAGCCAAGUCGCGUGAGGGAAGAAUGGUCUAUGGCCUGUAAACCUCUUUUGUCAAGGAAGAAUAAAAGGUACGUGUACCUUCUUGCCAGUACUUGACGAAUAAGCAUCGGCUAACUCCGUGCCAGCAGCCGCGGUAAUACGGGGGAUGCGAGCGUUAUCCGGAUUUAUUGGGUUUAAAGGGCGCGUAGGCGGGACGCCAAGUCAGCGGUAAAAGACUGCAGCUAAACUGUAGCACGCCGUUGAAACUGGCGACCUGGAGACGAGACGAGGGAGGCGGAACAAGUGAAGUAGCGGUGAAAUGCUUAGAUAUCACUUGGAACCCCGAUAGCGAAGGCAGCUUCCCAGGCUCGAUCUGACGCUGAUGCGCGAGAGCGUGGGUAGCGAACAGGAUUAGAUACCCUGGUAGUCCACGCCGUAAACGAUGCUCACUGGAUCUUGGCGAUACACGGCCAGGGUUCAAGCGAAAGUAUUAAGUGAGCCACCUGGGGAGUACGUCGGCAACGAUGAAACUCAAAGGAAUUGACGGGGGCCCGCACAAGCGGAGGAACAUGUGGUUUAAUUCGAUGAUACGCGAGGA